rnacentral:rRNA from 1 species
GACGAACGCUGGCGGCGUGCUUAACACAUGCAAGUCGAACGGAAAGGCCCCUCUGGGGGUGCUUGCGCGGCGAACGGGCGAGUAACACGCGAGUAACUUGCCCUCGACUUCGGGUUAACUUCAGGCAACUGGGGCUAAUACCUACUAGGUAUCCUCGCCGCAUGCAGGGGGUUGGAAAGCUUCGGCGGUUUUGGGGGGAUUCGCGGGUGAUUAGUUUGCUGGUGGGGGAGUGGCUUACCAACGCUUUGUCGGGUAGCCGGCCUGAGGGGGCGAGCGGCCACAAUGGGGCUGGGGUACGGCCCAGGAUCCUACGGGGGGCAGCAGGGGGGAAUAUUGCACAAUGGGGGGGAGGCUGAUGCAGCAACGCCGCGGGGGGGAAGGCGGGCUUCGGGUUGGAAACCGCUUUCAGCAGGGGAGAAGCUUGUAGUGACGGUACCUGCAGAAGAAGCACCGGCUAACUACGUG